AUUGAACGCUGGCGGCGGGCCUAACACAUGCAAGUCGAACGAGUGGCGGACGGGUGAAUAAUGUCUGGGAAACUGCCUGAUGGAGGGGGAUAACUACUGGAACCGGUAGCUAAUACCGCAUAACAUCCGAUGUGCCCACGGGGGAUUAGCUAGUGGGUGGGGUAACGGCUCACCAAGGCGACGAUCCCUAGCUGGUCUGAGAGGAUGACCAGCCACACUGGAACUGAGACACGGUCCAGACUCCUACGGGAGGCAGCAGUAGGGAAUAUUGCACAAUGGGCGCAAGCCUGACGGAGCCAUGCCGCGUGUAUGAAGAAGGCCUUCGGGUUGUAAAGUACUUUCAGCGGGGAGGCGUUACCUGCAGAAGAAGCAACGGCUAACUCCGUGCCAGCAGCCGCGGUAAUAC
rnacentral:rRNA from 1 species